AUACGUAGGUGACAAGCGUUAUCCGGAUUUACUGGGUGUAAAGGGCGUGUAGGCGGUUUGGCAAGUCAGAAGUGAAAUUCCCGGGCUUAACUUGGGCGCUGCUUCUGAAACUGCUUAACUUGAGUGCUGGAGAGGAUAGUGGAAUUCCUAGUGUAGAGGUAAAAUGCGCAGAUAUUAGGAGGAACACCGGUGGCGAAGGCGGCUAUCUGGACAGUAACUGACGCUGAGGCGCGAAAGCACGGGGAGCAAACAGGAUUAGAUACCCUGGUAGUCCGUGCCGUAAACGAUGAAUACUAGGUGUAGGGGGUAUCGACUCCCUCUGUGCCGCAGUUAACACAUUAAGUAUUCCACCUGGGGAGUACGGCCGCAAGGUUGAAACUCAAAUGAAUUGACGGGG
rnacentral:rRNA from 1 species